AUGGCUUCCUGGUGGCAGGGAAUGGGGGCCUCUGUGCGCCGGAAAUCUCUACAGCACCAGGAGCAGCUGGAGGGCAGCAAGGAGCUGCAGCCUUUGGCCAGCCAUCAGGAGACCUCUGCCGGGGCCCUGAGUUCCCUAAGCAGACAGCUCCAAAGGAGGCUGCCCCUGAGAGCUGUCAACCUCAGCCUCCAGGCAGGCCCCUCCUGGAAACGCCUGGAAACACCAGAGCCAGAGCCACAGGGCCUCCAGGCUGCAGCUCCCUCAGCUAAGAGUGCCUUGGGUGCCAAGUCCCAGAGAAUCCAGGAGUCCUACCAAAGCGGCACCAAAUGGCUGGUGGAGACCCAGGUGAAGGCCAGGAGGAGGAAGAGAGGGGCACAGAGGGCAGUGGAUCACCAACUCACAGCCUGAGCCAUGAGAGCACCCGGCUGUCUGGAGCCGCCCCUGCCCACUCAGCCGCAGACCCCUGGGAGAAGGAGCAUCACCGCCUCUCUGCCCCAUAGGCUCACCUGCCCACCCAGUAAGGUUGUCGAGGCGGGAGGCUGCCUUCCGGAGCCCCUACUCCUCAACAGAGCCCCUCUGCUCUCCCAGUGAGUCUGACAGUGACCGAGGGACGUCGGGGGCGGGAACUCAGCAUCUCCAGAAGCUCUCCCAAGAGCUGGACGAAGCUAUUAUGGCGGAAGAGAGUGAUGACAUGACCGUCUCUCUCAUUCACCACGGAGGAAGUGCCCUGCAGUUCUGUUCUGCAGGAAACAAGACCUGUCUGACCACCGAGGCUUCAUACCCAAGGAUGUCUGUGCUUCCA
rnacentral:lncRNA from 1 species